AGUUGGAGAUACCCGAAGCCUGUGAGCUAACAAACGAGGCAGCAGUCGAAGGUAGAAUCAAUGAUUGGGGUGAAGUCGUAACAAGGUAAC
rnacentral:rRNA from 1 species